CCUGGCGGCCAUAGCGGUUUGGUACCACCCGAUCCCUUCUCGAACUCGGAAGUGAAACGAACCCGCGCCGAUGGUAGUGUGCAUCCGCAUGCAAGAGUAGGUCACUGCCAGGG
rnacentral:rRNA from 2 species